rnacentral:rRNA from 1 species
GACGAACGCUGGCGGCGUGCCUAAUACAUGCAAGUCGAGCGGACUUUCAAGAAGCUUGCUUUUUGAAAGUUAGCGGCGGACGGGUGAGUAACACGUGGGCAACCUGCCUGCAAGACGGGGAUAACUCCGGGAAACCGGGGCUAAUACCGGAUAAUAUCUUCCUUCGCAUGAAGGAAGGUUGAAAGGCGGCGCAAGCUGCCGCUUGCAGAUGGGCCCGCGGCGCAUUAGCUAGUUGGUGAGGUAACGGCUCACCAAGGCGACGAUGCGUAGCCGACCUGAGAGGGUGAUCGGCCACACUGGGACGGAGACACGGCCCAGACUCCUACGGGAGGCAGCAGUAGGGAAUCUUCCGCAAUGGACGAAAGUCUGACGGAGCAACGCCGCGUGAGCGAAGAAGGUCGUCGGAUCGUGAAGCUCUGUUGUCAGGGAAGAACAAGUACCGUUCGAACAGGGCGGUACCUUGACGGUACCUGACCAGAAAGCCACGGCUAACUACGUG